CCCAAGACAAGCAGUUAUCAGAGAGAUUACCACUGAAGCCAGGACACAGGGACAUUGCAGGCAGGGGGAGCUGACUGUGAGGGCGCUGGAUGCCAGCCGGGCUGAGGACUUGGGAGCUUAUAUACAAUUGGAAACUAAGGAAAGAUCUUAAGCAAGAGUAAUUUCUUCCCCCAAGAAGACAGGAUGCCCUCUGCGAUCUCACACACCAAGACGAAGAGCAGCAUGAAG